rnacentral:lncRNA from 1 species
UGUAUUUUAUUUCUUACUACAAAAGCAUGGUACUGUAAAUCUGAUAGAGAUUGUUUUGGAUUUUUUUCUCAUACUGGAAGGCGAGAAACUCACGAUGAAGUAUGCGUGCAUGGCAAAUGUGUUUUAAUUCCCAUAAAAAGACACAAUUAAUUGGUACUUAAAUGAAACUCACGAUGUACAGAAAAAUGAGUUCUAUCUGUAAAAAACUAUAUUAAUUGUAUUUUUAUCUUUAAAACGUUGGUCAUAAAAUGAGAAUUUUUAUUUAUUUUUUCUUUGAAGCCGAUAUCUCUAAUUCUAUAUGAUAAUAUUGUCUCAGUUUUUUGUAGCAAUUUAAUUCACAUUUCUCUUGAAUGGAAAGUGAGACUCCAUGCGAUCAAAUAGUGUAACCCAACAACGCAAGUGACUAAUAUUACUUGUAGGGAAAGUUUGCCGCCCAUUUAUUCUCACAAGGCUCGAGAAAUUAAUUUUUACAGUUGCGCACAGAGAUACCCAAUAAAAUAGGGUUGUAUUAAAGUUUAUUGGAACUAUAGUUGUUUUUGUUUAUUUACUCCAUUAUUAGUUAUAAUUCCUUGGAAUAUGAAGUAAACAAUAGUUUUGAUGUAUUUUACGGUGUCUUAAAGAUCAAGAUUUGUUUUAUGGUAUUGGAGGACCUCCCUUAAUGGAAAAAAAAAAGU